UGUAAGACUGGGAUAACUCCGGGAAACCGGGGCUAAUACCGGAUGCUUGUUUGAACCGCAUGGUUCAAACAUAAAAGGUGGCUUCGGCUACCACUUACAGAUGGACCCGCGGCGCAUUAGCUAGUUGGUGAGGUAACGGCUCACCAAGGCAACGAUGCGUAGCCGACCUGAGAGGGUGAUCGGCCACACUGGGACUGAGACACGGCCCAGACUCCUACGGGAGGCAGCAGUAGGGAAUCUUCCGCAAUGGACGAAAGUCUGACGGAGCAACGCCGCGUGAGUGAUGAAGGUUUUCGGAUCGUAAAGCUCUGUUGUUAGGGAAGAACAAGUACCGUUCGAAUAGGGCGGUACCUUGACGGUACCUAACCAGAAAGCCACGGC
rnacentral:rRNA from 1 species